rnacentral:rRNA from 1 species
UACGUAGGGGGCAAGCGUUGUCCGGAAUUACUGGGCGUAAAGCGCACGUAGGCGGCUGGGUCCGUCCGAUGUGAAAGCCCCCCGGCUCAACCGGGGAAUUGGCAUCGGAUACAGCCCGGCUUGAGGACGGUUGGGGUGAGUGGAACUCCUGGUGGGAGCGGUGAAAUGCGUAGAUAUCAGGAGGAACACCGGUGGCGAAAGCGGCGUCACUGGACCGUAACUGCGCUGAGGUGCGAAAGCUAGG